rnacentral:rRNA from 1 species
CCUACGGGUGGCUGCAGUGAGGAAUAUUGGUCAAUGGGCGGGAGCCUGAACCAGCCAAGUCGCGUGAGGGAAGACGGUCCUAUGGAUUGUAAACCUCUUUAGGCGGGGAGCAAUGCCGGGCACGCGUGCCCGGUGGGAGAGUACCUGCAGAUUAAGCAUGGGUUAACGCCGUGCCAGCAGCCGCGGUAAUCCGGGGGAUGCGAGCGUUAUCCGGAUUUAUUGGGUUUAAAGGGGGCGUAGGCGGAUUUUUAAGUCAGCGGUAAAAUGUGCGGGCUCAACCCGGGCCGGCCGUUGAAACUGGGGAUCUUGAGUGGGCGAGAGGUAUGCGGAAUGCGUGGUGUAGCGGUGAAAUGCAUAGAUAUCACGCAGAACUCCGAUUGCGAAGGCAGCAUACCGGCGCCCGACUGACGCUGAGGCACGAAAGCGUGGGGAUCGAACAGGAUUAGAUACCCCGGUAGUC